rnacentral:rRNA from 1 species
UACGUAGGGUGCAAGCGUUGUCCGGAAUUAUUGGGCGUAAAGAGCUCGUAGGCGGUCUGUCACGUCGGCUGUGAAAUCCCGAGGCUCAACCUCGGGUCUGCAGUCGAUACGGGCAAACUAGAGUAUUGCAGGGGAGACUGGAAUUCCUGGUGUAGCGGUGAAAUGCGCAGAUAUCAGGAGGAACACCGGUGGCGAAGGCGGGUCUCUGGGCAAUAACUGACGCUGAGGAGCGAAAAGCGUGGGGAGCGAACAGG